CUACGGGCGGCAGCAGUGGGGAAUAUUGGACAAUGGGGGAAACCCUGAUCCAGCAAUGCCGCGUGUGUGAAGAAGGCCUGCGGGUUGUAAAGCACUUUCGGUUGGGAGGACUGCUUCUAGCACUAAUAUUGUUGGAAGUUGACGUUACCUUCAGAAGAAGCACCGGCUAACUCCGUGACAGCAACCGCGGUAAUACGGAGGGUGCAAGCGUUAAUCGGAAUUACUGGGCGUAAAGCGCGCGUAGGCGGCUAGAUCAGUCGGGUGUGAAAGCCCCGGGCUUAACCUGGGAACUGCAUCCGAUACUGUCUAGCUUGAGUACAGGAGAGGAGAGUGGAAUUCCACAUGUAGCGGUGAAAUGCGUAGAUAUGUGGAGGAACACCAAUGGCGAAGGCAGCUCUCUGGCCUGAUACUGACGCUGAGGUGCGAAAGCGUGGGGAGCAAACAGGAUUAGAUACCCGCGUAGUC
rnacentral:rRNA from 1 species